rnacentral:rRNA from 1 species
UACGAAGGGGGGCUAGCGUUGCUCGGAAUUACUGGGCGUAAAGCGUGCGCAGGCGGUUUGUUAAGUCUGCUGUGAAAUCCCCCGAGCUCAACUUGGGAAUUGCAGUGGAUACUGGCAAGCUGGAGUACGGUAGAGGAAGGUGGAAUUCCCGGUGUAGCAGUGAAAUGCGUAGAGAUCGGGAGGAACACCAGUGGCGAAGGCGGCCUUCUGGACCAGUACUGACGCUCAUGCACGAAAGCGUGGGGAGCAAACAGG